rnacentral:rRNA from 1 species
GGUUGAUCCUGCCAGUUGUCAUAUGCUUGUUUCAAGGACUAAGCCAUGCAAAUGUCAGAGUACUUGUGCUUUUGCACAGGGGGGUCUGUGUACGGCUCAUUAAACGGUUUAUGGUCUACCCAACAAAGGAAGGACUUGUGCCUUUCCUACGGGAUAACUGCGCUAACCGUGCAGCUAAUACCUGGAUGAAGAUUCCGCGUCCGUCAAACUAAGGGUCUGGGAAACUGGAACCUUAGGGGCGCGGAAGCUGUUGGCCGAAACAAAGAUUGUCAUUUACUUUCAUUGUUGACGC